rnacentral:misc_RNA from 1 species
UUUAAUAAUUAUAAAAUUCAUUAUCGAAAUCGAGUUUACAUUAUAGAUACACCAAAAUUCCAAAUUGAAAAGAAGUCUUCACACACCCUAUUAUAUUCAUAAACCCUAAUGUUUCCUUCACUCGGUUGAUUCCCAUGAUAAUGUGCAAAUGAUCAAGCAACAACCUUGGAGAGAUUAUAACCACUUGGGCAAAAUCCAGCCCUCAGCUGGUGCCUGGUUGGUGGUUUUCAGAAGUCUUGAUCUGAUUCGACUGCCUUAAGUUCGAUGGUUGAAUGUCGCAGAAGAGAAUAUUGUUGAGCAGCUCCAGGGUUAUCUUGUGAUGAUUCAAUUCAGGCUAUAAACAAGAAAACGCGUAAUUCUGGAGAUGACUCUAGUCGAUCUUAUUAAGCACAAUCAACUGCAUCCCAGGAAAGUGGGGUGCAGGUAGCCUAGUAUUGGCUAUCAUUAUCAAUGGAAUCAGAUUGAAGAAAGUUUGAUGAUGGGGACUCUCUCAUGUCGCCUGAAUUGAUGCUUUGGAUCUUUGAGCCUACCGCGUGUUGCUCGUUUCAGAGUUAAUGUUCUGAAUGACUGCAUCCUUAGAACUUAAUGAAGGAGCAGAACCAGAGCGCAUAAGUUCCACGGGCGUGGCCUCUCCAGAAGUAGCAGAUACAGGAACUGCAUAAGUGGAAGGCCAUCCAGCAAAAGGAAUGAACGGUACCAGUGACAAUGGCAUAGGUAGUACCUGACGUGCAGGAAACCCAAGCAUAGCUGAGUUUGAGAAUAUCGCUGGGCUGCAACCAACACCCAUAGGCAUUCUCAUAGCCAUUCCUAACCCCAUGGUGGAGAAAUGAGCAAAAUUUGUUGCCUGCAUCUGUAUGUGUUGCAUUCCAGUUGGUACAAUCAUUGGAGGCAUACAAAACCCGGUUCCCUGUGACAUUACCUGUAGUUGAAGCUCAAGGGUCUUCAGAUACUCAAUUGCCUGGUCAAGCAUUGAAGCUAUAUCCACCUUCGGACCACAUAGAGCAAAAGAUGAGCAAAAAUUUUUUUCGGGGAACAGGAGAAAAAAAAACAGAAAAAAAAUUUUUUCUCUUUAAUCAUGUACAUGGCAAUAUAUACCUUGCUGGAAUUAGGUAUGAGAGCUUGCAAUGCACGCAUCUUCUUGGUGAUCUUAUCUCUUCUUUUCUGUUUGAUACGAUUUAGAAGCGCUUAGUUAGGUUUUCUUUUCUUUUCUUUUGGUGGUGGUGGUUAGUUCGUUUAAAAUAAACUCACCCUUUCAGACUGUUUAUGAACUUCUGAACGUCUUCUUUUGGCACCUGCACGAGCAGCCGCUGGUUUUGGCACUUGUUGAUCUCCCUCAGCAAUCUGUAGCAAAAACAUCAACGUUCGUAGUACAUCAUAAAAUAGGAAACAAAAAGACGAGCUUUAUGAAGUCCUAUCAUACUUCGCUUGGAGACGCCAUCAUUUCCUCGUCUUUAUUUUUCCUCCUCAAAGAAGAAUAACUUAUAUCAUUUGAAGCCCCCCGAGAGCAUAUUGAAGUAGCCGCAGCCAAUUGAUCUUUAGAUUUUUCUCUAUCAGGAUUUCCCUUUACCGUAUUUGCUGGUAAGCUUGAGGUUGAACUAGGAAAUAAUUGGUCUUCGAAACGCUUGCUUUUAAUGGCAUUUUUUUGGACAGGGGCUUCGGAUAGCUCAUCUGGGGGUGACUCGUCCGAAGGAUUACCAAUCUGCUGUGUCUGGUCUGUUUUAAUUGUGACUAGAUCUUGAUGUUUAUGGAUAUCUUUAGCACUUGUUGAACCAAUUCCUGGCUCCAGUGCUAGUGCUUUGUCACCUGCAGGAGUUUUAUCCUUGUUGCUUUUUAAAUCCUGAACUCUUAAUGAACUUGGACCACCUGCAGAUUCUGUUGCACCUUGGUGCUGGUCAUCGGCUUUGGAGAGCACUCCAGGUGUUAAGAAUAGGGAGAAGUUCCUUAACCCAAAAUCUUUAUCAGGUCUUGAAUUAAGCUGCUGCAAAUUAGAGUUGGGCAAUCUACCCAUUGAAGACAUAUUUAGGCUUCCAAUCGCAAUUGAUCUACUAAUUGAAACUGAGGCGUGGCAUUGCUGCAAAGAAGACUCAUGUAACUGUCCAUUCUUAGCUGUUGUAAGCUGUGGAAUUUCCACUGGAGAUGCAUUAUUUUCCAGCUUCAAACUUUCGUCUUUGCAUUCGGGUACUAUUUGAGACUCUGCGAGAUACUCAUCAUAAGUUUUAUUUCGGGGUGUUUCCAGACAAAAAUUGAAAUUGUUUUUGUAGAAACCGGGAAACAGGUGAUCAGAAUGGUGAUGAUCUUGUACAGAACGCUUAUGCUUGGAGAGUUCCUUACGAUCUGGAAGAUCCGUCAAAGGAGAAUCAUCCAAAUCCAGCACAGAAUUCUCAGUUCCCAAUCUUGGUCCCUUUGAAGUGUAGGUUUCUGCGGUACGAGUCUUAGCUUGAGGUUCGGUAGAGUGAAGAGAAGAGUAAGUGAUGCAUGAUGGACUAUUGGACCGUCCACGCAUCAGAAUCUGACCAUUUUCCCAUACCAAUUCCACAAACUUAUCAGCCAUGGAAGCUAAAUUUGCCAAAACACGACCGGUGGUGAUCCUAAAAUGGGUUGAAAUUGAUACAGGCUUUCGUCUGUGAUUGAGAUGAACAGGUUAUAUGUUUUUCAGAAAUAGUAAAUAAACGGACGAAAAUUUUCUCAGUUAGAUUAUCGUUACAGGGAUUCCAAAGCAUUACCCUGAAAACAUCUGUAAAAGAUGUUUAUUCCAUUCUCUUCUUUUUUCUUUAUAGAGGAGAUUAAGAGGAGGAAAACAACAAUAACAAUGGUUAAGGACAAGGAAAAGAUAAUAGCCAAAAUCGUGACACGAUCUAAA